GUGGGGAAUAUUGGACAAUGGGCGCAAGUCUGAUCCAGCCAUGCCGCGUGUGUGAAGAAGGCCUUCGGGUUGUAAAGCACUUUUGUCCGGGAAGAAAUCUUCCAGGUUAAUACCCUGGGAGGCUGACGGUACCGGAAGAAUAAGCACCGGCUAACUUCGUGCCAGCAGCCGCGGUAAUACGAAGGGUGCAAGCGUUACUCGGAAUUACUGGGCGUAAAGCGUGCGUAGGUGGUUCGUUAAGUCUGCCGUGAAAGCCCCGGGCUCAACCUGGGAAUGGCGGUGGAUACUGGCGGGCUAGAGUGCGGUAGAGGGUGGUGGAAUUCCCGGUGUAGCAGUGAAAUGCGUAGAGAUCGGGAGGAACAUCUGUGGCGAAGGCGGCCACCUGGACCAGCACUGACACUGAGGCACGAAAGCGUGGGGAGCAAACAGGAUUAGAUACCCGUGUAGUCC
rnacentral:rRNA from 1 species